rnacentral:sRNA from 1 species
UCACUCGUGCGAUGGCAGUUCCACC